CCCCACAGAAACUGAGCCUCACAGAAGUUUAGGGCUGGAAGGGGCCUUGUGAGAUCAUCAGGUCCAGCCCCCACUACUCUGGGCAGGAAAGACUGCUGGUGUCAAAUAACCCCAGCAAGGUGUGCGUCCAGUCUCCUUUUAAAACUCUCCAGGGUAGAUGCCUGCACCAUCCCCGCUGGGAGUCUAAUCCAGAGCCUGGUCACAAGGACCACAAAUUUUGCUUAGGCAGACAAAGCAUGGAAAAUCCAGCCCCAGAUUGCAAACUUCAGAACAUGGGAAUCGAAAAGCAAACCAUGAAGCAGCAAUAUGUUUCUUCAGUGCUUCCAAAGAAACUGGUUUCCCAAUGUAACUCCUGCCCACAGAAAUAACAGCUCCAUCUAGAGGAAUCAGCAACAAGACAUUCAUCCUAUCAUGUUAAAGAUGAACAGAAAGCAUUUGAGGGGGAAAUGACUGUCUAGGAAGCAAAGCUCAGAUCAUUAGAGCAGGAACCUGGGAGUUAGGACCACUAAGUCCUAUUUGUAGCUCUGAUACCAGCUUGUUUCAUGAUCAGCAGCAAGCAAUUUCACUGUUCUGUGCCUCAGUUUCCCCAUCUUUAAAUACAGCGAAAUAGGAAUGCUGGGAGACCAAAUGAGCUAGUUAAAUACAAAUCCUCUGCUGAAAGGCA